rnacentral:lncRNA from 1 species
AAUUACUGAGAACCUCAAGGACUGUUGUUUAUAUGGGUUAUAUUAAGCAAUAUUUAUCAUAUUAGAAAUAAUCAGAAAUUUUAAAUUUAUUCAUUAAUUCAUUUUAAAAUAGCAAUAACAAACCCAUUACAUAAUAAUAUAAAUAACAUUUUUAUGAAAUGACUAUAUUUUCCAAAACAGAAGUUUUUGAGAAGGAAAGCAUAGUUUUACAUCUUCCAAAAGCUCUUUAAGGGCUAGUGUAAUUGAAGAUAGCUAGAUUUUCACAUUUUCUUCUGAAUUCAAAUGCUUGUGAUAUGUCAUGUAACCGCUAGAAAACUCCACUGUACUACAUGCUCAUAAAAGAAUGACAGUAUAACAUCUUGCUAUUUUUACAAAAAUGUUUUUGACCUCACAGAUCCCCAGAAACAAGUGUGCUGGACCCCCAGGGGUGCCCGGGCCUCACUUUGAGAACAGCUGCCUUACAAGGGUACUUUGGAUUCAGUUGCUGGCGGGGACAGAGAGCAACAUGUCCCAGGGAAGCUGAGGAAGAACGUGGAUGGAAAACAGACUGCUUCUGGCGAUGUGAACCUUCCCUUACCUUAGGAAGAAGGUGCUGGGUGAGCUGGCUCCUAGCUCCUGCCUUCUCCCACUUCCCAGCUUGCUGCAGCCCUCUGGUGACAGUCAGACAAUGAUAUGGAAGGAUUCCUGACUAAUUCGGAUGGACGUGAGCUGAACCUUCCCUGCUUCUGGCCAACCUCUUGACUAUAUAUAUAUAUAUAAAGAAUUGCAAUAUAUAUAUAUAUAUAUUAGAUAUAUAUAUUAGAUCUAAUAUAUAUAAUUUUGCAAUCCAUUUAUUUGUCUCUGUAUUCACUCCCAUCCCCAAAUUAUUUUCAUGGUGGAGAAACAAACUUUGUGCCCCUUCUUCAACUGCAAAACCUUGCUCUGCCCUCCCUUCAGUUGCACUGCUUCUCUUAGUCUGUGCAGGAAAUCGAAGCCUCGUGCCCUCGGACUCAAGGCUCUCCCAGACCUCCAUCCCUCCCACUCGUGCUGUCUGUCCUAGCUUCCUGUUGCCUGUCUCCUCCCUCUCCAGGCCGACAGAGGUUUCUCAAGACAUUCUGAAGGCUCCCAAAUCUGCCACUCCCCAGUCUUCUCCCUCUCCCUCCUUUUGCUGACACGUUCCUCCAUAGAGCAGUCUACACUUAACUUCUCUUCUUUCUCACCUCCACCCAUUCUCUUUGGUUUGCCCUCUGCAAUCCUUCCUCCAUAGCCGAACACACACUACUAUAGCUGUCCCAUCUGGGGUCAUAAUGACCUCCCAAUUGCCGCAACCAAGAGCUUGUUGUAAGUCCUCCAUUCAAACUAUCUAAAUAGGAGGACGUGGAGGUCCAUAGUUCAAGAUUUACCUCCACUGGCUUUAGAGAUAAUUCAGUUGCAGUCCAAAAAGAUUACUUACCGGCGGAACUGAGAUGUGGCCCCAGCCUUCUGUUAACCAUGUUGAUGUUCUUUCUCCUAAAGACCACCACCUGCCUUGACCUUCCCUGUAACACCUGACCCUGUUGACUCUACACUCCUUCUUAACUCUUCCCUGGUCCUUUCAUAGUAUACAUUCCUCAUCUACCCAGAUCCCUCUGGUAAUGCCUGCUAGCUCCUUUUCCUCUUGCAUUCUACAUAAAUAUAGAUAUGCCCUAAAUAUCAUAGCUUUUCCAGUAGUAAGGAUCAUAUCUAGCACACACAUUUUCUUCUUCCCACCUCUCUUCUGUCUCCAUAUACUGCCAGUGGGAGUUCAACCUAUUAGAAAUGCCCUCUGACAACCAAAAACAUCCUUCUCUUUCAUCACCCGUAAAUAAGCACCUACCAUGUGAGAUUCAGCACAGGAGGGGAAUCUGGGAUCAGACUGCCUAAUUUCAAAUCCCAGCUCAGCUUCUUUAGCACAUGCCAUUGUGACCUGGCAAGAUUCUUCCCAAGUCUUCAUUUUUUCUUCUAACCACCUACGAUUGUUGUGAAGACUAAUGAGAAAUUACUCAUACAGAGUUACUCAGUGAAGUGGCUGGCUUGCAGCAUUAAUGGUAAAUGCUCAGUAGAUUUUAGUUUUCUUCCUUUCUUUUUUACAUUUUCACUUUUAAUGUUUGCUAGGGAUGAUGCUGAACCCUAGUUCCAUCCCUUGUAUAGCUCAGCGUCUGGUGUAAUUAAACUUUAGAUGUGCCACAGCAGCUGUCUGCAGAGUAGAUGGGGAGAAAGGAGUGAAGAGUUAAUUCUACUUAGGGCAUCAGAAAAACCUUCAUUUGAAGAGCUAAACACUAAUCUCAAUCUUGUUUUUUUUUCCUGGGGACUAAGCUGCUAUACAGACCACAUGUAAACUUUAUUUAAUAGAAGCUUCACAAGUGAGCAAUAUCAUGGCAAGAAAAAAACAUUUAGAACAGAAUUGUUCAGACAUUGGGGUGCAUUUAGCUACUAGGGUGGGCAAGAAACAUAGGCCAGAAUAAUUUGUGGCUACCCCUGAGGAUAUUCACAGUAUGUAACACCUCAAGCCAGAGAAGCCAUGGAAACACCUGGUGUGAUACAUCUGUACUUGUGGCACGAAAGUCAGGACAGGCACCUUUUAUAUUUAAAACCAGUCACCAUGACUACCACAACCCAGUUUCUCAUGCUACCACAAACCUUCUAUUUCUCACUGCAAUGUGGUGUGUGGCAUGGUUGGAGUCACAAGACUGAUUUUCAUGGGACUUUGAACCUCUGAUUCUUAUGUUUCUUUGAGUUUCAUUUUAAGCCUGGUCUUUGCAGAGAAAGGGGGAAGAAAUCACAGAUAAUUAAAGCAUAAAAUAUUCUCAUUUCAUGGUGGGGCUAACAAGUGAAACUACAAGUAAUGAUGUAAUCCAACUUGUCAAAAAGGGAAAUGAAAAGAGGAGACAGAAGGCAGGACAGAGCCUUGGGACCCAGCGUGCCAUGUCAUCUUCUAAUUAACUAACUGAUCCUUUAAACUGUCAAACUCGGCGAGGAACUCCAUGGCCUGGCAUCUGAUUAAUAUUCAUAUUCGGGCACUGGAUGCUCU